rfam:Triticum aestivum genome assembly, contig: Triticum_aestivum_CS42_TGACv1_scaffold_527102_6DL
CUACUACUCCCUCCGUUCGGAAUUACUUGUCGCAGAAAUGGAUGUAUCUAGACGUAUUUUAGUUCUAGAUACAUUCAUUUCCAAGACAAGUAAUUCCGAACGGAGGGAGUAAUUU